rnacentral:rRNA from 1 species
GACGAACGCUGGCGGCGUGCCUAAUACAUGCAAGUCGAGCGAGCGGAACUAACAGAUUUACUUCGGUAAUGACGUUAGGAAAGCGAGCGGCGGAUGGGUGAGUAACACGUGGGGAACCUGCCCCAUAGUCUGGGAUACCACUUGGAAACAGGUGCUAAUACCGGAUAAGAAAGCAGAUCGCAUGAUCAGCUUUUAAAAGGCGGCGUAAGCUGUCGCUAUGGGAUGGCCCCGCGGUGCAUUAGCUAGUUGGUAAGGUAAAGGCUUACCAAGGCGAUGAUGCAUAGCCGACCUGAGAGGGUGAUCGGCCACACUGGGACUGAGACACGGCCCAG